GGUUAAAUGAAAUAAUAUGGUGGUUUUCUCUGCCAUGUCCCCGCAGCCCGCUCUGGCCGACACGGCCUUAGUGGAGCUUGUGAACAAAAAACGGCGCUGCUUUAGUGCCAAGGAAUACUUGUGAGCAGGGGCGUUGCAUUGCGGCUAUAGGCUUGGAUGAUUUGACGCCUUUGUUGGUAAAAACAUGAAAAGACUCUUGGCAAUGGAUAUCUUGGUUCUUGCAUCGAUGAAGAACGUAGCGAAGUGCGAUAUGUGGUGUGAAUUGCAGGAUCCCGUGAACCAUCGAAUUUUUGAACGCAAGUUGCGCCCAAAGCCACUUUGGCUAAGGGCACGCCUGCCUGGGCGUCAGUUGCCCCCAUCUCUCUGUGCAGUGUCCUAACACUGUCAGAUGUGGUUUUUGGUUCUUUGAGUCCCAGAGCUCGGAGGGUUGAAGUGUUUGGCUUGCCAACGGAAUGGGGCUGGUAGUGGCGAGUGGUGGAUUGAUCUCACAGACAAGCCUUAUGUCGCCCAGUAACCAUCCCAUUGUGUGUUUGGCCUUUGACGGAACCCCCUAGUU
rnacentral:rRNA from 1 species